rnacentral:tRNA from 1 species
GGGGAUUUGGCUCAGUGGUAGAGCGCUUGCCUAGGAAGCGCAAGGCCCUGGGUUCGGUUCCCAGCUCUG